rnacentral:misc_RNA from 1 species
UCUCUUUUUUGCGACACCCCCGUCACCCCCCCUCUCCUUCCCCCUUUCCCGACACCUGCGGACGUAGGCAAGGUACGGGCAGCAGCUGACACCUCACCCCCCCCCCCCAACACAUACACACACGCGAGGAUAACGGGACGGCGGCUGCUCUCUGCUCUCUCCUGCUUUUUUUUUUGCUCGUUUGUUUUUUCUUUUCACGUGCGCUCUCGGACGUUGUUCGGGGUGGGUCUCUGCACGUCUUCCUCCGGUCGGACGCGUGCGCACGCGCGCUCGCUGCCGUACGUGGCGCGCAUUCCACGCACGCCUUUCCACGGCACAGACAGGUCGUCGCACACAACGUUGUAUGUGUCGCCGCUGUGGGACCGAAGAGGCGUUAGGCCAACGGAAGGCAAAGUCGUGCGCGCGCACGAGAGAGAGUGAACGCGUCACGCCGGCGCCGAUUCCUGCGCUCUCGCCUUGGAUUCUACUCUGGCUGGCCGCUCCUAAAAGGGGAGCCGCCGGUAUCCGUCUCUGUUAGUGUGCGCAUGGCGGUGCAGCGAGGAAGGGGGUGCCAGAGGAGUUCUUGUGUCCUGUCCUUCACGCACUCGCGCUGCUGAACCACCGUGCUUCGCUCCGCAACGCUUGCUGUGAGCUGCUGGCGCACUUCAUCUCCACGCGUGUAUGCGCGCCUUCCCUGCCCUCCUGACACGCCUCUCCACAUCGCGUUUUUCGUUGCUUUUCGGUGCACCGACAUGGCGGAAGUGUCGGCGUUUGUGUACGGUUGGGUGAGUGGCAUUGCCGCCGUCGUCAUAUGGAUUCUCUACGGCACUGCCACGCUGCCGCAGCUCAUGCGCAGCGUCAAGAGCGUGUGUGCGUACAUUCCAGUGCUGUCCCUCCUGGUCGAGGGAAUGGAGACGCAGCAGACUGGCGUGCAGGGUGGCGACGGCGCAUCGGCGUUGCCCCCAUUCUUUCGAUUUGAUGGCGCGGCCGUCGAUCAUGACUUGGAAGGCUUGCGAGGGAGCCCCAUGCGUGUGAAGCCAAUCACGGCAUCAGCGACGUGUAUGAUGAGCUGGUACGGACCAGAUGGAACCAUCGGCCCCCCGAUUGAGUGCCUGCUGUCACUGGAGAACAAUUUGGUCACCGUCUAUCAGCUUCUGCACUUCACAGACAGCGGCACCGGCAUCAUGGCGUCUGGCUCGACAGGCCGCGGAAGCUUUCACUCGAAGUCGAAGGAUGCGCACCGAGACUCCAAGUUUUUUCGUACCGCAACAGGUGUCACGGUGGUAGAGCACCGUAAGGGCAAGGUGUGCGUGCUGAAUACCACCGUCAUGGAGGUGCGGCAGUUUAACGCCAGCAAAAAGACGGCGACAGCCGCGGCCGAUCAACUGAAACCAAGCACCGGUGAUCGCGGCGCCAGUGGUGCCAGCGUGGGCGAAGCAGCCUCUGCAAGGGUGUCUUCAAAGGCCUCAUCAUUGCCCGGCUUGCUGGGGUUCUUCAGCAGCGGCGGGUUUGCUAGCAGUGGUGCCCUAGUGUCCGAGCGCUGGGAGGAGACCCUGAAUGAAUCGACGGCAUCCGCGAAGGGCUCGAUGAGCCAGCGGAGCGUGGCCGGAAGUGGUGCGGCAGUGUCCGGCGCUUCGGAGGCGACCGCUGCGAAUUUGAUGGCUGGCAGUGGCGGCGCCGAUUCGGUUUUCACGGGGCGGGUGCUUAUUUGGCGCACCGUGGAUGGUCGUCCGCUUUUCGACUCAUCCACGCCGCCGCCUCAGUCGUUUAGCAGCCGAACAGGCAACAGCACCUUCGCAGUCGGCUGCGGCCACUCGAUGCCGUUCUCCAACUCUCAUUCACAUCGUGCUGGUGGAGCCCGCACACCCGGCAACGCCCGAUCGACGGAAAGCGUCGAUGGCCACAGCACCAACUCUUCCAACGACGCGGAUGAUGGCGACGAUUUCACCGUCACUGACAGCGAUGGCGGCGACGCCGCUGUUGAGAGACGUCAACAGCAGGCCCACUGUGCCCGCUCUCAUCAUCAGCGGCGAUGUAUGAUGAACGACAUGGCGACCUGGUCAUGCGUCAUUAUCAAGUUUGAGCGCUCGCGCGAGUGCGAACGGUGGCACACACUCUUGUCCGGGCUCAAGGAAGCAGAAGCGUGGCACGAAUACUCCAAAACCCUGCCCAACCCCGACACCAUCAACACGUUCCUCAGCCGCUUCUUCUUCCAAAACAUGCGCCUCGCUCCGUUCUCCGACACCCUGAUCGAGCUAAUUCGAAAGCAGCUGCGAAGCCUGCCGUUGAAAAAGUUUCCGCGCGACCUCGGCGGUGACCUCAUCCUCGACGACCUCCUCAUCGGGACGCAGAUUCCUUGGAUCAGCGACGUGUCGGAGCCAAGGGUGUCGGCCAACGGCGAGGUCGGCUUCGACUUCAACCUUUUCUACAAAGGCGGCGAGGAAGGUCUCUCGCUGUUCUUCCGACUAGCGCUCACCUACUGCGGCAUCCGAAUCCCGCACGUCGUCUUCUCCGUGAAGCUUUUGGAGCUGGAGGCAACCGUGCACGUCAGUAUCGGGCCACCACCGUCGAAAACGUUUUGGGUUGGCGCCCACAAACCCCCUAUCAUCCGGCUCGAGGUGCACCAGGGCUGCGCCUCUGGGAAGGGCGUGCUGCACCGCAUACUGACGGCGCUCCCAGACCUCAGUGGCAUCAUGACAAACCUCGUCAAGCUGUACCUCUUUUCCGACAUGGUGCUGCCGUACAUGGACGACUUCCCUCUCCCGAGUGUCGUGAAGUCACCAAAGGGCUCGUUCGCCGACCUGCGCGUGCGUGCGUUUGAUUGGCAACGCGCCGCGAAGAUCAGCAGCGCACCACACCGCGGCAGCUUCACUAGCGGCGCAAGCAGCAACGACGGAAGCCCAGAAGGCAAGGCCGCUGAGAGGAGCACAGAGCAGCAGGCCACCAGUGGCCACGGGAGCCCGCUGACUCCGUGGAGAUCGAGCGUCUGCAGCACAGCGACGACGCCGUCAUUUGCCUCUACAGGGCGCGCGUUGAAGGGCGCAGUAGCCUCCGACAGCAGAGACUCUUUGCCGCCGGUAAUUCUCGAUGAUCGAUCUGCGAGCAACAGGCUGAAUGCUGGUGCCGGGGAGAAGCUUCCAGCAUCCGCCUCGGGGGACAGCGACGGCAAUACGGGCUCCUUUACGAGCAGCUGUGAUGCGAACGCAUCUAUCGGCGUUGGCUCGCCACGGACCCCGGCUUUACACUCCAGCAGAUUAGGAUCGCAAAGAGCCCGCGAUUCACCGACGCUACCGCCAGGUCGUGCAGCUUCAGAUCGUGGAAGUGAUCCGACCUGGCUGCCUGCUACGCACCCGGGGAAUCGUUCCGGUUCAUGCAACGCGUCGGUGUCGAGCAUUCCCAUGUCCACCUCUGCGAUGGACGACGGCCUCUUCUGCGACAACAGCACCUGCAACAGCGAGUCCGACAGGGUCAUGAGCAGCGCAUCCAAGAAGCGCUCUGCCACCUCGGCUGCCAUGCGCAACCUGAAGAACCUGCUCAAGGUAAAAGGCAAGGACAUGACCCGCGAGUCUGUGUCGCGGUCGAAGAAAAAGAGCUGAGGCCAUCGUAUGCUGGAGGGUGCGGGCCUGAGGUCGCUGCAGUGGCCAACUCGCACGGCUCUUAUACACGGCUGCUGCCUUCUUCAACGUUGCUUUCGUGUGUCUGUUCAUCUGCCCUCUGCUGCUGAAGAGGGGGAGGGGUUGGCAGGCAGUCGGGCGGGCACGCCUCAGCCCGUGGAGUAUCCGGAGUUCCGUGCUCACUUUCUCCGAAAGCCGAGGAGCCCCCUUAUCCCCUGCCAAAUGCCGAACCACUUUUGGUGGUCACAGGGUCACCUACCUACGACGUCGGGGGAGGGGGAGGCCAGAGAGAUGUAUCGCUACAGAUGCCACCAGGGAGGCCCUGGAUGGCGUGGCGUCAGAGUGGCCUGUCACAGUGCACAGUCCUGGACCAUAAAUGCUAUGGGCGAAGUGUCCAAGGGGAUUCGAACAUAUCCCACCGGGCACUCACUCCCCGCUUCUGAAGGGCACCUGCCCCCCACCCCGUGAGGUGCAGCACUUGGUGUCCUGUGAAGCAGGUGAAGGGGGGAGAGCUUGAGGCGGAGGCCAUGCUCUCAGAUGAGUGAGCCGGCGCCUUGCUGUCGCGCGCGUAUCCACGGCUGCUGCGCACCAGGCGAUGGGGCCUCUGACGGUCCGGGUAGAGUGAGGUCCGAGCCUGACGGGCAGAGAAAUAGACGCGCUGAAGGAACGAAAUCGCUUUGGUGCUGUGGCCGUCCCUGUGCUUGUGUGCUCUUAAUCCUCUCCUCUGCCGUUCCUGCAUUCCUUUCACGGUGUUGCGGGGACACCUGAUGCGCAGUUGACGAUGCUGCUGCAGACACGCAGAUGUGUGCGACCAGCUCGGAUGUUUGCCGCCGUGGUUUGCUUCGCGUGUGCGUGCGUGUUCCUGUUCGCCGCCUCGGCCCGGCCGCUGCGCUCUUCACCCCCCAUGCCGCCAUGCUUGCUGCCAUGUGCUUGCCUUGUUUGCGCCGCCGCUGCUCCUCUUCCCCGCUUUCGUCUGUCUGCGAUUCGGCGGCCGGCAGACACGGCGGACGGACAGCGGCGCGCUCACGGGGUGCUCCGCAGGAUUGAUAUGGAAGCAGAGAAGUAGCACAGAAUGCGCACAGUCGAGUGGCGCUCCAUCGAGAGAGCCCUUACGUGAAGCGCUCGUACUCGCGGUGAUGCCCAAUCGUUGUUUGGUGUUUCCGCGUCAAUGGAACGGUCCCCAGUAUCGCGCGCGCAGCCACCCCCUUGUCCUCACGAAGUGUGUGCUCGAGGCGAGUUAGAGGCGACGGCUGCUUCAGUUCGCGCAGGGCCAGUUAAGUCGUUUGCUCUUCCUGGUUGUUCCUGGGACCGCCUCAGUGGGUGCAUGGAUCUUCUUCGCCGUCGCUCUCACGCACCUUGGGUUCUCAUUCUCUCCUAUCCUCUCCCGUCUCCCUCUUUCGCCUGGACACGGCGCGUCAUUGCGGCCUGCACACUGCCGCGGGCCGGUGAACCUGCGCACACACUCUCCCUGUGUGUCCCUCACGCGAUGCCAUGCCACGUUGGACGUCCCUGCGGUACUUACUCUACACGCGCCCACACGUCACCGCACCUGCAUCCAACCGUUUUGCACAG